GGAAUGUUAGGUGGGGUCCAAGGUUCAGUCCUGGGGAUGGGGGCCCCUGCGGUGGGCAGAAUAACGGCCACUGCAAAGAUGCCAAAUCUUAUCCCCAGAGCUUCCGCAGAGAUCCUGCAGAUGUGAUUCGAGUCUUCCAGCAACACCACCUCACUCUGCUUUGCACAAUCACUCCACCUCCCCACAUGUUGCGGAGAUUCUCCUGGGGAUUCACACUCUUCCUACUUGCAGCUGUGACACGGGAAACAUCCUCCACCAGGUCUUCUCUCACAGUGUGGCCUCUGCGCACAGGUUAUCCACCUGUAGACCUGGACGGGACCCUCGAGGCUCCCUACUCUGACCAUCUGGUUUUAUAGUUGAGGAACCAGAAGCCGAGGCAGGUAACUUGGUGCAGCCUAAAGGCCUCCAUCCCUCCAGUGCCCACAACUUAGGUGCCCACGACAACAACACUGGCCUACCGCAAAGACCCAGCCCAGAGGAACAAGGUGCCACUGUAUGUCUGAAAAGGGGGCCCUCGGCCUCACUGGGGAGCACCUUCCUCCAUCAGGGUCUCGACGGUGAAGAAGCAGGCUGUUUCCAUCUUCAGGAUACAAGCCAUCUGCGCAUAGGAAGAGGGUCCAGAGGCUCAUCUGGAAUCCCUCCUCACUCACUGGACGGAGGACCUGACCCCGUUCCCAUCAUUGGUUCUGAAUCCAUCAGCCCAGCAAGACAGGUGUCUCCAGCAAGUUCUGUAAAAUACAACCAUAGCCGGGCCUGGAGUCAGCCCCCAAUAAAGGGUUCACCAUGGAGUCAAAGCUUCCUUCACAUUGGGAAGAGCCUGAUGAUGCCGCCUUGGUGCCACCCGUGCAGGCCGUGUUCCACUUCUGUCAUGGGCUGGAGAGAAAAGAGCGACAUGGACCUGUUCAUGAAAGGCUCUUCCCGCAACACCAAGCCUGGGGCCUGCAGGGCCGCCAUGAAGAAAGGUGGCUCCUGCUUGGCAGAGAGAAAAGGGGAGGGAGGGCAGGUGAGUCACCAGCAUUGGGCCCCUCAGCCCAGGCUGCCAAGGCAGCCCAGUGGAACCUGUCCCCAUACAGCAUGUUUUUAGUUUGAAUGGUUUUACAGUGUUGGAGCUGUAACUUUACAAA
rnacentral:lncRNA from 1 species